CCUACGGGAGGCAGCAGUGAGGAAUAUUGGUCAAUGGACGAGAGUCUGAACCAGCCAAGUAGCGUGAAGGAUGACUGCCCUAUGGGUUGUAAACUUCUUUUAUAUGGGAAUAAAAUGUUCCACGUGUGGGCUUUUGUAUGUACCAUAUGAAUAAGGAUCGGCUAACUCCGUGCCAGCAGCCGCGGUAAUACGGAGGUUCCGAGCGUUAUCCGGAUUUAUUGGGUUUAAAGGGAGCGUAGGUGGAUUUUUAAGUCAGUUGUGAAGGUUUGCGGCUCAACCGUAAAAUUGCAGUUGAAACUGGCAGUCUUGAGUACAGUAGAGGUGGGCGGAAUUCGUGGUGUAGCGGUGAAAUGCUUAGAGAUCACGAAGAACUCCGAUGGCGAAGGCAGCUCACUGGACUGCAACUGACACUGAGGCGCGAAAGUGUGGGUAUCAAACAGGAUUAGAUACCCCGGUAGUC
rnacentral:rRNA from 1 species